GACAGAGGCCUCAAGCGUUAGGCGGAAUCACUGGGCUUAAAGCGUGUGUAGGCGGACUUCUAAGUGCCUUGUGAAAUCCCACGGCUCAACCGUGGAACUGCUGGGCAUACUGGGAGUCUUGGGCCAUUCAGGGGGCAACUGGAACAAGCGGUGGAGCGGUGAAAUGCGUAGAUAUCGCUUGGAACGCCGAAGGUGAAAACAGGUUGCUGGGGGAUGUGCCGACGCUGAGACACGAAAGCCAGGGGAGCAAACGGG
rnacentral:rRNA from 1 species